rnacentral:rRNA from 1 species
GAUGAACGCUGGCGGCGUGCCUAAUACAUGCAAGUCGAGCGAAUGGAUUAAGAGCUUGCUCUUAUGAAGUUAGCGGCGGACGGGUGAGUAACACGUGGGUAACCUGCCCAUAAGACUGGGAUAACUCCGGGAAACCGGGGCUAAUACCGGAUAACAUUUUGAACCGCAUGGUUCGAAAUUGAAAGGCGGCUUCGGCUGUCACUUAUGGAUGGACCCGCGUCGCAUUAGCUAGUUGGUGAGGUAACGGCUCACCAAGGCAACGAUACGUAGCCGACCUGGGAGGGUGAUCGGCCACACUGGGACUGAGACACGGCCCAGACUCCUACGGGAGGCAGCAGUAGGGAAUCUUCCGCAAUGGACGAAAGUCGGACGGAGCAACGCCGCGUGAGUGAUGAAGGCUUUCGGGUCGUAAAACUCUGUUGUUAGGGAAGAACAAGUGCUAGUUGAAUAAGCUGGCACCUUGACGGUACCUAACCAGAAAGCCACGGCUAACUACGUGCCAGCCGCCGCCGUAA